ACUGGACGCUCCGCCCAGCUUCUCCACUGCAAGNGCUUCAGUCUAACAGGAAGGUCCCGUGCAGCUACCCUGGCACUCUAGCUGGCGGUUCAUAUUCGGGUGGAACUGGCCGUUUGAACACUCUCUCUUGAGAACUGUAUUCUCAUAUCCGUAGCCCAUCACUUGACCUCUAGGUAUUCAUUUUUUGAGUCUUUGUAUAUUCUAAGACAUUAACCCUGUCCUGUUCAGCUAGCAAGGUACUGCACGGUCCAAACUCGCCCUCCCAAGGCGACCAGCUCAUAAUGACCUCCCGCCCUCAGUCUUAUCGCUCAGAUUUUGCGGGGUGAGUGAGCAGGCCCCGUAGCACUAACUCCUGGAACCAGAGUAUGUGGAACCACAUGAGAGUGAGCUCGAAAACUGUAAAACAGUUGGUUUUUACAUCUAUGAUACAUCUUUUAGUAUGUUUAAGAGCUAANCCCAUCCAUUUGUAAUUUUGAUAGUAAACUUUGGAUAAGAAUUUUUCCAGAAGAAACACUGGCAUUUGCUUUGUGAUUGAGUGAGUGUCCGCUGAGAGAACAGGUAUUAAGCACAAACUCCUUUUUCUUUUUAAUCAAGCAUUUAAUAUCCUUUAAAAUUCUUCAAGAUAUAUCAACAGCUGCCCUAUUUUAUAUAUAAAGAUAAAGGAGGAAAGCAAUGUAUUUAAUUAAUGUGAAAUUAAGACAACUUUCCUGAUUAUAUAUAUAUAUAUAUAUAUACUAUCUCAAAUCAGUAAUAAAGAUGAGUACUACUUUUUUGCCUGUUAAGGAAAGUCAUCUUAUUGAAAAAACAAACAGCUGAAACGAAAUUUUCUCAUGACACAAAUGGACUAAUUAUACAGGUCUCAAAAAUGUUUUUAAAAGUACCCUAAGAAGAAAAUUUUCUCAUUGGACUACACAGAAGCCAUCAUCUGGGGCGGGGGUGUACAUGGAGGGAUGUGGGGCAGCUGUUAGGGCUGGCAGCCUCUCCUGAAAACAUCUAGAGAUUUAAUCUGUCCCUUUCAUAACUUGCCCAGGGCUGUGCCACGCCUGAAGGAAUAUAAACUCCUGUACAGCACUUGUCAAGUCAUGGACUCAGUGUGGGUGUCCAUCAUUGGAUGAAUGGCAAAACAGCACAAACACACAGACCCUAACUCCCCAGGGCACACACCCAACCAUUCUCUCAGUCUGAUUCUAGUAUCCUGUCCCUCAUAUCCAUUCUCUAAGACUGAUCCCUAGUAUAAGUCAACUGAAGUCUGUUUUAUGGUAGUGGUGUCUCUCCUAUAUGGUGAGACUCCUGGUACCUCCUGUGAGUUUGCAGUAGACUCAAAGGUCCUCUCCCUAUGCAUGACAGGAGCCCCCCACCCCAUCCAUCCUCACAUGCAGAUUUGGUUUAUAGGUGUUAUUGGUUGUGUUUCCCAUGAUUUACAAAUUGUGAAUUGUGCAGCUUCCAAACUGCAAGUCAGAUCUAAAUGUGAACUUAAAAGAAGUCAAAAAUAAAUUUGGAAAAAGGGGCUGGGCGUGGAGGUCAGUGGUGUAGUGUUUGUCUAGUGCAUAGCGAAGCCCUGGAUUCUAUUCCUGAAAAUAAAAGGGACAAAGAAGGAACUGGGGAGGAAGAAAUGGAACCAAGUCACCAAUUUUGUGGUCUGCAGCAAAAACAAGGUCCACAUGUAGAUUUGUAACACUAGCUGUGUACCCUGGAAAGAAGAAAGAUCUGGUGCCAGUAAUUUAAACUUCCUCCUGAGAAUAUUAGAAAGCAAACAGUAAAGUAAUAGAAAGAAACCGAGGAAAAUCAUUUAAAAGCUGGAAACAGAAUUUCAACAGCGAAAAAAUGGGAAUCAAUUUUAGGUUCCUAAAAGGACAACACAUCAAAAUGCUGCGAGAGGGAUUACCACUGUUGAUAACAUGACUUUCUAGGAAUAUGCUUAGAAUGCUUCUAAGAUUGCUAAUAAUGUGCCAGCACUGGCUGACCCUUACAGUAUUUUAUAUGUAAACAAUAAAAAUGCAUGUAUUCCUUC
rnacentral:lncRNA from 1 species